rnacentral:rRNA from 1 species
UACAGAGGCCCCAAGCGUUACUGAGAAUCACUGGGUUUAAAGGGUGCGUAGGUGGUCCGUUAAGUUCGUUGUGAAAUCCCUGGGCUCAACCCAGGAAAUGCUUCGAAUACUGGCGGACUUGAGGCUAGUAGAGGUCACUGGAACUGACGGUGGAGCGGUGAAAUGCGUAGAUAUCGUCAGGAACGCCGAUGGUGAAGACAGGUGACUGGGCUAGUUCUGACACUGAGGCACGAAAAGCGUGGGGGAGCGAACGGG